AUAUCACCUGGACAGCCAACUGAGCAGGCACACAGGUCAUGGUCUUCCCCACUAAGCCAGAUCAUCUGAGAGCAUCUGAAAAUGAUCCAUCUGCUUGGGAUGAACUGGAUUUGGCCGGAUUCCUCCAGGCCUGAUGGCCAACUCCUUUGCCAGACUUUAAAAAUGUAUACUCAUAAUGGCGCUGUAAUUAGCCCAAAGCACAGGAGACUUCCUGGGCUCAAGUAACAAGUACAACAGCAUGGCUGAGUCACAGGUGCAAAACACCAUCAUGCAUCCAUGAGCUGAUCCCUGUAAUCAG